UGAACGCUGGCGGCGUGCCUAAUACAUGCAAGUCGAGCGAACAGACGAGGAGCUUGCUCCUCUGACGUUAGCGGCGGACGGGUGAGUAACACGUGGAUAACCUACCUAUAAGACUGGGAUAACUUCGGGAAACCGGAGCUAAUACCGGAUAAUAUAUUGAACCGCAUGGUUCAAUAGUGAAUGACGGUUUUGCUGUCACUUAUAGAUGGAUCCGCGCCGCAUUAGCUAGUUGGUAAGGUAACGGCUUACCAAGGCAACGAUGCGUAGCCGACCUGAGAGGGUGAUCGGCCACACUGGAACUGAGACACGGUCCAGACUCCUACGGGAGGCAGCAGUAGGGAAUCUUCCGCAAUGGGCGAAAGCCUGACGGAGCAACGCCGCGUGAGUGAUGAAGGUCUUCGGAUCGUAAAACUCUGUUAUUAGGGAAGAACAAAUGUGUAAGUAACUAUGCACGUCUUGACGGUACCUAAUCAGAAAGCCACGGCUAACUACGUG
rnacentral:rRNA from 1 species